rfam:Oryza rufipogon genomic scaffold, chr06
AAUAACCUCAGCCAUGAGUUUCCGUAUUCAAUUUUAACCAUCCGUCUUAUUUAAAACUUAUUAUUAUUAUUAUUAGAUUAUAAAGCAUGAAUAGUACUUUAUAUGUACUAAUGUUUUUUAGAUUUUUGAAAAAAUUUUAAAUAAGACGGACGACUAAAGUUGGAUAUGGAAGCUCAUGGCUGGACAUUUA